CUUUGGUGAUUUUUGAAGCUUUCCAAAACUUCUUUUGCAGCCAUUUGGAGGAUCCAUCAGUGAGAGGACCUGCUGGAAAGUUUGGGCUCAAAGGAUUCUUCCCUAAGGAUUCUGGGAUCUGCUGGCACUGAUCCUGGUUUGAAGUGCAGCCAGGAAGCUCAAACCAAAACCUUUCACCAGCCCACCACCAGCAGUGAAGCGAGAUUCUGGGAGAUCACAGAAGCUCAAGGGACUUCAGGUACUGUCACCAAGCGUGGAUGCCUUCAGUAUGAAAUCCAUGUCCUCCAGAUCGUCAGACCUCAGCCGUAUCCGUCUCUGCCGGCUCUGGAACACCUUCCAUACA